rnacentral:rRNA from 1 species
GAUGAACGCUGGCGGCGUGCCUAAUACAUGCCAGUCGAGCGAACGGACGAGAAGCUUGCUUCUCUGAUGUUAGCGGCGGACGGGUGAGUAACACGUGGAUAACCUACCUAUAAGACUGGGAUAACUUCGGGAAACCGGAGCUAAUACCGGAUAAUAUUUUGAACCGCAUGGUUCAAAAGUGAAAGACGGUCUUGCUGUCACUUAUAGAUGGAUCCGCGCUGCAUUAGCUAGUUGGUAAGGUAACGGCUUACCAAGGCAACGAUGCAUAGCCGACCUGAGAGGGUGAUCGGCCACACUGGAAGUGAGACACGGUCCAGACUCCUACGGGGGGCAGCAGUAGGGAAUCUUCCGCAAUGGGCGAAAGCCUGACGGAGCAACGCCGCAUGAGUGAUGAAGGUGUUCGGAUCGUAAAACUCUGUUAUUAGGGAAGAACAUAUGUGUAAGUAACUGUGCACAUCUUGACGGUACCUAAUCAGAAAGCCACGGCUAACUACGUG